UUGCAACAGUGGAGGGAGGUGCAACUAGAGUUCUGGAGUAGCAAUCAGUACUCAGAGCACAAAUCCCUUAUGUCUGGAAGACAUGGUUCUUCUUGACCACCUUGGCUCCUGCAAGCUACGUGCAAGCUGCUCCAGGAACAGCUCUGCCUCUAUCAAAAAUAAGACAGUGAGCUUGUGGGUCAAGCAGCUUGUAAUUUCUCCAGGCCCAUUGUGUGGAGAGGAGGAGAAACCACAAUGCCUGAAGCCUCUUGAAGAGGUGAAUACAUUUGGAGGACAUGGAAUCAUCUGCACCAGCCCUUUGGCCUGAUGUCAGAUCAGUGUGGCCGGAAGCAUAAACUGGGUGAAGCAGAGAGUACCAGGCAUGUGCUGGUGAGAUAUCUGGGGAACCAUGAAGGGGCCAAGGUGGGGGAUGGCUCACUUUGGCUGUUUGGGUUUCCAUCAUUUAAAAAUGUUGAGAGUUCCUUUUGGUGUUGAUGGAUAGGACAAAUCUUGUUUGUCCUAUUGGCUGAAAAAAGUCUCAUUUAAUGAUAGAGAGAUUUUUGGCAGUCACUAAAUGGUCCAGUACUAUAGCCUCAGCUAAGACAUUUCUGUUAAAACAGAAAUAUGUAUGCUGUUUAUAGUUGCUUUCAUGUUCAUUUCAUUUGAGUCUCCCAAUAGCCCAUGAGAUGAGUGGAGCAAGGAUUAUUACUCCAUCUUAUAAUGAGGAAACAUGAGGUU